rnacentral:rRNA from 1 species
UACGUAGGUGGCUAGCGUUGUUCGGAAUUACUGGGCGUAAAGCGUGCGCAGGCGGUUUUUUAAGUCCGUUGUGAAAGCCGCGAGCUCAACUUGGGAAUUGCAGUGGAUACUGGCAGGCUGGAGUACGGUAGAGGAAGGUGGAAUUCCCGGUGUAGCAGUGAAAUGCGUAGAUAUCGGGAGGAACACCAGUGGCGAAGGCGGCCGUCUGGACCAGUACUGACGCUCAUGCACGAAAGCGUGGGGAGCAAACAGG